rnacentral:rRNA from 2 species
AAGACCUCAAAUCAGGUGGGACUACCUGCUGAACUUAAGCAUAUCAAUAAGCAGAGGAAAAGAAACUAACAAGGAUUCCCCUAGUAAUGGCGAAUGAAGAGGGAAAAGCCCAAAUUUGUAAUCUGGCUCUUUCAGAGUCCGAGUUGUAAUUUUAAGAACUGUUUUCAGUGCUGGACCAUGUACAAGUCUUCUGAAAAGAAGCAUCAUAGAAGGUGAUAAUCCUGUUCAUGAUAUGGACUACCAGUGCAAUAUGAUACAGUCUCUAAGAGUCGAGUUGUUUGGGAAUGCAGCUCAAAGUGGGUGGUAAAUUCCAUCUAAGGCUAAAUAUUGAUGAGAGACCGAUAGCAAACAAGUACCGUGAGGGAAAGAUGAAAAGAACUUUGGAAAGAGAGUUAACAGUACGUGAAAUUGUUAAAAGGGAAACAAUUGAAGUUAGACUUGUUAUUAUUAGUUCAACCUUUUUAAAGGGAGUAUUCUAAUGAUUAACAGACCAACAUCAAUUUUUGGGUGUUGGAGAAGGGUUUAAGGAAAUGUAGCAGUUUCUGACUGUGUUAUAUUCCUGAACUUUGAUACAAUGCUUAGGAUUGAGGAAGGCAGUAAGC